CUUGCAAAACAGGUCCUUAGUGCUAUAUAAGAUAACACAGCUUAAGGUUUGAAAAAUAACAGAAUACAAAGAGAAAGAUAGUAGAGAGGGUGAGGAAGGGGGGAGAGAGAGAAAUGGAAGGAGUCAGAAAGAGUCAUCGAUUGUUAAGGGGAGGAGUGAGCAGAAGUUAUAACCAUGGCUUCUCUUCAUCUCAGAUUCAAUCAUUAGCUGCUGUAUGUGAAGCCCUAAUACCUCCAAUGCUGAAGGAAGGUGGAAGCAGCGACGGCGGUGGCAUUAACUGAUUUUGAUUUUGAUUUUGGGUUUGUGUUUGGGGUGGGGGUGGAGGAAGAAGAUGACUGACUUCCUUUCUUUUUUUUCUUUUUUUUUUAAUUUCUUAUUUUUUCUAAUUUAAUUUUUCACUUAUUUUAAUGUAAUAAACGGAAGUUACUAUUUUACCCUUUCAAAAAUAUUAAAAAUAUGGUCAAAGUCAAAAUUCUUAAUCAACUACCUGACAUUUGGAUGAAAACCGUCCAAAAGGGCCUCCGCCGCAACAUUUCGAAAGGUUUGGGGUGGCGGUUGCAAUAAAUUAAAAGUUUGGGAAAAGUCUGCUAAUAUUUUAAAGAUUUGGAGCGUCUACUGCAAUAUUCCCUUCCAAUAAUUACAUAUCUGAUUUGACCUAUGGAUGAACAUGCUUCCUUUGUAUCUCACAUGGUUUCUAUUUGGAUCGGAAUUCGUUUGAUGGUUCGAGAGUAGUUUCAAAUAUUUGUCACAUCCUCAGUGCAGUCCUUGCUCAUCAUCCACGGGCCCUAUCUUCAAGUAACUAUGUUUCAUAAUAGCAUUUGUAAGGACUAUCAAUACAUUAAAUAAUAAUAAUAAUAAAUAAAACGUAGUCUUUUGACUAUGGUAAAACUAAAACCUAAUUACUUGGACCAAAUGAAAUAUAGGCAAGACAAGAAUUAGAGGAAAGUUAGGAAAUCAUAAGACUAAUCUCAGCCACGCAAAUGCAUUGCUGUAAAGCAUUACCAUUCCAAAUACUUAUAAAUAAACUGAAAGUAAUUUUACCAAAAAAACAAUUACAAAUUAUUCUUCUUCACUUCUGUAAGUUCCCCUCAGCCUGAUGCAUCAUUUUGCAGUUAAAAACAACCUUAUUGAUACAAAUGCAGAGACAACCAAACUAGAUUUUAAAGGCAGUGAUUCCACCCCUCUUUGUCCUAAGCCUCGUCGGCUCAGGUCAGCCUUGCCUGAAUAUCUUAAUCCUCUCAAAUGCAGCAAGAACAGGUUAAUUUAAUGAGUUAAUCAAACUUAUUUUUUGGGUUAUUAUAAUUUAUAAGGAAAUAAGGAAUUUCUCUAAUUAUUUGUUUGUGCAAUGUCAUGAUCAGCAAGCCAAAUUCUGAUGCAAGAAGUGGGGUUCCAUACAUGCUUGCAGAAAAGGUUCUUUCUAAUUAUAUCCAUGUUAAUUUUUGAACCUCGAGCUUGGUGCUCAGGGUUC
rnacentral:lncRNA from 1 species